CUUGAGUUAUGACCAGUGUCACAUAUGAACAACUUGGGUUACGACCAGAAUUUUAGUUUUAACUUCUGACCAAAGUGAUUGAGUCAAAUGCUGGUCUUUCCUGUAUGGUGUUAAUUGAGAAAUCCUCAAUGUCCAUCUAAGGACACUCAGAUGUGCCUGGAAGAAAGUGUGGCCUAAAAUUAUAUAGGAGAGAGACUUUGAAGGCUGCGUAGAGGGGCCUGAGCCAUCAGCUGACCCUGUGGUUGAUGACAAUGUCACUAUCCAUAGGCUUGCAGGUAGGCAGUAGUGAUGUUGAGGAACUUGUGGAGGGACCCUCAGAAUUGUCUACAGAGGAACCUCAGCAGUUUCUGGCUGAGCAACAGAGAAUGGCAGCUGAAGAGCUUUCUGAAGAGGAAGAGGAAUAUCAACAAUCAGUGAAGCAAAGUUCUUCUGAAAUAAAGGAAAUCCUAAAAAAAUGGACAGAGGUAUGAACAUUUGUAGGGAAUGUUCUGUGCAAUCUUCCCAGUCUUUGUAGAGAAAAAGCCAGUCAUUGCAUUUACUUACCUAAUGACAAUGUCAUGUCAUACUACAGAACUGUGUUAAAGAAAAGACAGAAACUGACAGCCUUAGACCAGUUUUCAGUUCUGAAAAGACUGAGACCUAGUGAGCCAGAAGCAGGUCCUAGUGGGCUACAGACUCUCCCAAGGAGAGAAAGGAUACCAGAGAGCCGGAUUCCUGAUGUUCUUUUGGAAGGGGACGCUCCUUCCAUACAAUAACUACCUUCCAUUUCAUCCUCCCUUCCUGCAAGCCAAAGAUGUAAAGUUGAAUGGCUCCACAGGUGCCAGCUUGGUGACUUGAGAUCAGUCAUCUUUGCCCCACCGUUCUUGUCUGUCAGAGGGAGAUCAUGAUGCCAUCAAUCUCAGGACUGGGAAGAAGCAUGAAUGACAUAGUGCAAGAAAACAUUUAGAAGAGUGUUAACAAGUCCUCAAUAGACACAAGUGGAGACAUUGUCAUCUCACAGCUUGUAUCAAACAUCAAGAAAAAGGAAAUAUGACAUUUCUAGAAUGCUGGUACCAACAGAGGUCAGAGCAGCCUCUAACACAGGCUCUGUACUUUUCUUCAAAUGAAGAUUCUGUGCAUGAGCAAGGGGUUGGUGAGGAGAGAUACGAAGCCAGGAAACUGUUCAGGGACUUUUCCUCCAGCUUCAGGAUACAUUGUGUAGCCAGGAGGAUGCUGGGACCUACUAUGUACCUACUGGGAUGCACUGUAUCAACAGGCUGUGCUCUCCCCAAACAGAAACCCUUCCAAGUGGGUGUCCCCUGUGCAAACAACCCACCUCCUCCUGGCCACCUUGCAGAGGGACCUGACUGAGCCCACAGGGUGCUUUUCUCCUGAAAAAAUGUCAUAAGCAAAGUCACAGCUGAACCCUAAGGGUCCAGUCUGUGAGGCUUCCUUCAGUAGGAGUGUUGUCCUCUCUCCAACCCUAUCCUGGGCUGUCUUUUGUAAAUUCCCCCAGUGAUCUCUGCCUCUCAGCUACAGGAAGCCUCCUGGGAAGGAAGCCAUGAUGCACUGCUUAAGAUGGUUUAUUGACAUGGAAUGAAUGAAUGAAUGAAUGAAUGAAUAUAAGAUCUUAGAUGAAAUCAAGCUAGGUUUCACAUUGCUGUGGGGCCACUGACAGAUAAUGUGACCUAUCAAACUUUUAGUUUUUCAUCCUGUUCUUCCAGUUUUAGGUGGGCACCACAGUGUUAACAUGCACUAGGUAUUCAUCCUCGUGAGAGCCUUGCAAAGCUACUCAAAGUUCUUAAAAAAUAGGGCCAAAAAUAUAAACUCCCUUUUUCAGGGAGUGAAAGAGAGGUCAAGAAGAGAUGUCUGUGAAACAGC
rnacentral:lncRNA from 1 species